UCCCAUCUCAACUGAUUGCUUGACUUAGGUUUCGUUUGGGAUUGCAGGGGGAUUGCGUUACGUGCGGUGAGAAACGACGAUGGAAAAAUAUUCUGUUUGUUUCCGUACGUAAUAUUGCAUUCCGCAUAUUACGGUUAGUCAGUUAUAAUAUAUUUUCUGCGGUCCCAUCAGAGAACGCAGAAGCAUAGCUCUCUAUACUUUUUCUUAACUCCAUUUUAUCUAACAGCGUUAGAUUGACCUCAAUACCAAACUAAGCCUUAAAGAAAGCCAUCAACCGAAGGUCAUAUUCACAGCCGAAUUACAACUAGGGAUGGUAAUCUAGCUCACGGUUCACGAGCUAGCUCGUGUUCGGCUUGAAAUGAGCUCAAGAUCGAAUCGCUCGUUUAGUAAAUGAGCCGAAUACGAGCUGAAUUUUUCAGCUCGUUUAAUAAACGAGCCAAACACGAGCUGGGUCAGCUCGCUAGUAUUCGGCUCGAUAACAGCUGGAAUACAUAUAUUUUAUAUUUAUAUAAUUUAUUUAAUUUAUAUUUAUAUAUAUAAAUAAAUAAUUAUAAAUAUAAUAUAUAUUUUUAUUAUUUGAUUUUUAGUAAAAUAAAAAUAUAAAGGCGAGCUCAAUUAUAAAAAGACUCAUUUAUAUGUAAAGUUUCAACCAUUAGAUUAAAGUCUAAUGGAUAAGAUUUUAUAAAUUUAUUUUUUAUACAUAUCCAAUAUAAUUCUUUUAACUUAUUAUUCAUUGGCUAGCUCGUGAGCCAUCUCGUGUUCGGCUCGUUUAUUAAUGAGUUGAACAUGAGCUGAAUUUUUCGACUCGAUACUUUAACAAGUUAGCUCGUGUUCAACUCGUUUAUUAUUAAACAAGCUGAAUA
rnacentral:lncRNA from 1 species